GGUCCGGUAGCUCAGCUGGUAGAGCAGCAGCCUUUUAAGCUGAUGGUCGUGGGUUCGAAUCCCACCCGGAUCACCA
rnacentral:tRNA from 1 species